AUUGGACUGAACUGAAACCAUCCAGGAAUUCCAGAAGAAUGGAAUACAGAAAAGCAAAGGGAGAAAAUUACCAAGGAAAUAAUAGAAGACAGUUUCUCAAGACUCAAGAAUGACAUAGAUUUUUAAUUUGAAAGAGGACCAUUGAGAGCCAUGUGGAAUGAAGGGAGACAUCUAGACACAGCAACAAGGGUAGAGGACCACUCACUUGUCAAAUUUGU
rnacentral:lncRNA from 10 species